GUGCCAGCAGCCGCGGUAAUACGUAGGGGGCGAGCGUUACCCGGAAUUACUGGGCGUAAAGGGGGCGUAGGCGGCCCGGCAAGUCAAGUGUGAAAUCCGGCGGCUCAACCGCUGGGCUGCGCUUGAAACUGCCGGGCUUGAGUGCAGCAGAGGGAGACGGAAUUGCCGGUGUAGGGGUGAAAUCCGUAGAUAUCGGCAAGAACGCCGGUGGGGAAGCCGGUCUCCUGGGCUGUUACUGACGCUGAGGCCCGAAAGCUGGGGGAGCGAACCGGAUUAGAUACCCGGGUAGUCCCAGCCGUAAACGAUGCUCACUAGGUGUGGGGGAGAUAAAUCCUCCGUGCUGAAGCUAACGCGCUAAGUGAGCCGCCUGGGGAGUAUGCCCGCAAGGGUGAAACUUAAAUGAAUUGACGGGG
rnacentral:rRNA from 1 species